rnacentral:lncRNA from 1 species
CCGUUCAGUGCUGCUGCCGGAGCCUUGCGCUUCCUCGUGCUUGGCUUUUUAGCUAUGAUUUCACGAUAAAGAUUUUAUUUUCAUCUUAACGGCUUUACUUUAGCAAAUAAAUCGCGGAGGCAUCGAAAAGACGUCUGUAAGCCCCGUAAACCUUGAGAUUAACUUGUUCUCACGCUUUUUUGUGAGUGCUGUCGUUUGAAUGAAAUGGAUGUUCUGGACGUUUUUGGAAAACGCUGGAUGGGAAAUGAAAUUGAAAAGGAGACCUUGGAAAUCAGUGAUAAAACACGGAAAUGAACUGACCUCAGAUCAGGAGUCGGAAGACGAGUGGAGAGUGGGAGUAGCGAUAGUGGUGGAGGAGUGAACCCGGAGCAGGU